rnacentral:rRNA from 1 species
CAAGUCGAACGCUUUGUGGUUCAACUGAUUUGAAGAGCUUGCUCAGAUAUGACGAUGGACAUUGCAAAGAGUGGCGAACGGGUGAGUAACACGUGGGAAACCUACCUCUUAGCAGGGGAUAACAUUUGGAAACAGAUGCUAAUACCGUAUAACAAUAGCAACCGCAUGGUUGCUACUUAAAAGAUGGUUCUGCUAUCACUAAGAGAUGGUCCCGCGGUGCAUUAGUUAGUUGGUGAGGUAAUGGCUCACCAAGACGAUGAUGCAUAGCCGAGUUGAGAGACUGAUCGGCCACAAUGGGACUGAGACACGGCCCAUACUCCUACGGGAGGCAGCAGUAGGGAAUCUUCCACAAUGGGCGAAAGCCUGAUGGAGCAACGCCGCGUGUGUGAUGAAGGGUUUCGGUAUGUAAAGCUCUAUCAGCAGGGAAGAAACUGACGGUACCUGACUAAGAAGCACCGGCUAAAUACGUGCC